GCCUCGGUGGCUCAGUCGGUAGAGCGCGUCCUUGGUAAGGACGAGGUCGCGGGUUCGAUUCCCGCCCGAGGCU
rnacentral:tRNA from 1 species